UCAAAAAGACGACCGAGUUAAAAGGGGAUGGCUCGAAAAGGAGACGAAGAAGAAGAAGAAGAAGAAGAAGGAGAGGGAGAGAGAGAAUGUGGGAAUCGAUAUGCUUGAUGCUGAUGGCGACGGCGGGGAACAACAUCGGCAAGGUUCUACAGAAGAAGGGUACCGUGAUCCUCCCUCGCCUCUCCUUCAAGCUCAAGGUGAUCAGAGCGUAUGUUUUGAACAAAUUGUGGAUUAUAGGCUUUCUUAUGGAUAUAUGUGGCGCUGUCUUGAUGCUGAGGGCAUUGUCUCAAGCUCCAGUUUCAGUAAUACAACCAGUUUCUGGUUGUGGACUUGCUAUACUUUGUGUCUUCUCUCAUUUCUAUCUCAAGGAAGUGAUGAAUGCUCUUGAUUGGGUGGGGAUUGCAUUGGCUGGGGCUGGAACAAUAGGUAAUAGCCCUUUGUUUGCCAGCUGUGCUUCAUGUAUUGUAAUGUUCGGAGCCUUUAGUAGACGACCAGGAGUUGGCAUUGGAGGGGAUAAGCAAAAUGGUUCGACAGUCUCUCUUUUCCACUUACCUUUGCUGGGCAUCUCAGUUGCCUUGUUGUUUGCUCUUCUGAACACAUGGCUUCGCAUCUACAAGAGUCGAAGGCAGGAGCAGGAGCUGAUGCAUUCUGAAGUAAUUGAGGAAAUUAUAUAUGGCUUGGAAUCGGGCAUUUUAUUUGGGAUGGCAUCAGUAAUAUCAAAGAUGGGUUUUAUGUUUUCAGAGGAGGGCUUCUCAAAGAUCAUGGUACCAAUAUGCAUUUCCAUUAGCAUCUGCUGUAGCGCUUCUGGGUUUGUUUAUCAGACCCAAGGCCUGAAACAUGGAAGGGCUAUUGUGGUAUCCACAUGUGCGGCUGUGGCAUCAAUUAUUACUGGUGUUCUGGCUGGUAUGUUUGCUCUGGGUGAACAUAUGCCUUCUUCUCCCGUUGCUCGAGUGGCUCUUUCACUUGGAUGGAUCUUUAUCACUCUCGGGGUUAUUCUUCUGGUGAGUUCAGCUCGAUUGAUGGCCCUGCUACCUAGGCCGUUGCGACGACAUCUGAGAAGAAGCAACCUUGAGAAUCACACUCUAAGGAGAUCUGGUUCCUUGCGUAUCAAGGAUCCUAGCCCAAGUGCAGUAAUUCAUGCAUCGACGCUGCAUCAUCUGAUAACAUCUCCAUCAAAAGAGAAAGCCUAGUGAAGUCAUUAAACAAAUAAGAAGUACAUGUUGACCUUUUCUUUUAUUUCUUGGACAACGGUCAGCUUGCUUUUAGACCCUGCGCUAACCUUGUCAUCUUCCCUCCAAUUCCCUAUCGAGGGAAGUGAAGUCUUCUGGGCUUGCUUGUUUACCAGAUCACGUGUCGCCUGCGAACACUCUAAAAACCAGAGUCACGGAAGCUGGAUGCAUUCUCGCGUGAUCCUGUGUCUGAAAAGAGAUUUUAACGAUGGAUUGAAGCAUCGCAGUAUAUGUUGCUUCCACUUCUUAUCGGGUCGGUUGUUCAAGUGGUGAGGAUCUCCUGCUACUACUGAUUGCCUUCGCUGGAUGUGAGAAGCAAUUUUCGUGUCUACUUGUGUGGGGAGAUUAUCUUGGAGCCACGAUUGCUGAUGGGGGGAUGCAGCAGCAUUCGGAGUGCUGGUACACUGCAGAACAAUCAACAAGCUGACAUGUUCUGUGCUCGAUUGGGCCAAAUCUUAUCAUCUUUCAUGGCAGAGGAGUUGUCUGGACGCCAACAGAGAUCCAGAAAUAAGAAGAAUUGUACAGAUGAAUCAGCCUCUGUGCACGCACCUCAAAGCGGAUGAAGGCAGGCAGCGAUGUGUCGUCGUCGUCGCCACUGAGACGGACUUUUGUACUUGGCAGCCGUGAGCUGUCCUUUGGCUUGUUGCGAUUGGCAGAUCCAUGGCGUCAAGGAACAUCAGGACUUCUUCAUCCAUCUGAAAUCUUUGUGUGCAGAUCAUCCUACCUUAAUGUAUGAUCUUCCCUGCAGUAAAGUGGAAGACCUCUGAGAUGGAAGGUCAAACCAAUCAAGUGCCACCAAAUUGCCCACAGAAUCUUAUAGAUGGACAUUGAAGUUUUUGCCCAUCCAUAUGAAGGCUUAUAGCAGAAUUAUACAUAUGAAGGCUUAGAGAAACUUAUCCAUGGCUGAGAGUCUGAGACCCCUCCUGGCUUCUGAACACUCCAAAUUACAUGCAAAUCCACAUACCAUUAUUGGUUUUACACAUAAUCUUGCCUCUGAUUGCUAUCACAUUAAUCUAUGAAAUUUAUAUACUCUGAAAGACUUGGGUAUAUCCAAUUUAGGAGCUACAAAAACCCACAAGACAUCUGAAACAAACAAGAAAAAUAGAGAGGGGGGAAAAGGCUAUUUGAUAAGACAUACCUCAAGGGGCAUGAGAGCUUGAGGAAUAACCCUGCAUGUGUUCACAAGUAAAUUGAAAGCAUGAGCAGAGUAUGAUAAACCAUGCAGAGACUGUAGAGCAACCAGAAACAUAAAAGCUUACCCAAGAACAUGGCAACCUCCAUCAUAAACUGCCCGUGAAAUCAGACCCAUCAAUCCCACACUCCCACCACCAUAAACUAAAUCGAUCCUUCUCCUCACCUGCAACACAUAAAACAAGCUAUAAUCGAUCUACAACAACAACAACAGAUCCAAAGAUCCUAUUCUCAUGAAACCAAUAGAAAAAAAGACAAUCGACUCUCUUUGUUCCAAUCCCUCCAAGAUCGAGUUUUGAAGCGAUACAAGUUCCGAAAAGCUUGUAUCUCAGAUGCAACAGAGGAGGAGAAGGCUCAGCGAGAAGGAAGAAGAGGUAUCGGCUAUAGUGGAAGACCAACGCCGACGACCGCCGGACCUUUAACGAAGACAAGCCCUCAAAAUUCGAUUUCUUUGACGGCAAGGACCACCGAGGGCAUACCAGUUCGCGACCCAGAUCAAGAGCUGCAUCGCUGAAGACUGUUCGGUUGCCAGAGUUGCUGCCGCAGAAGACGCAAAUCCGCUUGAACUUGCUCCGGGUCUCGUCGCCCAUCUCUGCCCUCCAAUCUCACGGCGCGACCGAGAAGAACAUAAGAUGGGUAUAUAUAGGGAGAAGGAGAGCGAAUCAAGGCUCUACAGUCGCCGUCCUCCUUUGAACCAACCGGCAUCAAGGAUCGUCUGCGGCUCUCUGG